AGUGAACGCUGGCGGUAGGCCUAACACAUGCAAGUCGAACGGCAGCACAGUAAGAGCUUGCUCUUACGGGUGGCGAGUGGCGGACGGGUGAGGAAUACAUCGGAAUCUACUUUUUCGUGGGGGAUAACGUAGGGAAACUUACGCUAAUACCGCAUACGACCUACGGGUGAAAGCAGUGGAUCUUCGGACCUUGCGCGAUUGAAUGAGCCGAUGUCGGAUUAGCUAGUUGGCGGGGUAAAGGCCCACCAAGGCGACGAUCCGUAGCUGGUCUGAGAGGAUGAUCAGCCACACUGGAACUGAGACACGGUCAAGACUCCUACGGGAGGCAGCAGUGGGGAAUAGUGGACAAUGGGCGCAAGCCUGAUCCAGCCAUACCGCGUGGGUGAAGAAGGCCUUCGGGUUGUAAAGCCCUUUUGUUGGGAAAGAAAAGCAGCAGGUUAAUACCACGCUGUUCUGACGGUACCCAAAGAAUAAGCACCGGCUAACUUCGUG
rnacentral:rRNA from 1 species